GGCCAUUUAGCGCAGUGGUUUUAGCGCACUACUCUCAUAAGGUAGGGGUCGGCAGUUCGAUCCUGUCAAUGGUCA